rnacentral:lncRNA from 1 species
CAUCCCUGGCCUGGGAGAGCGGAGUCCCCGGAGCGCAGCGGGUGCCGACCGGCGCCCAGACGCGGGACAUGUCGCGGUCAGCCGGCCGGGUCGCCACAGCUGCCCCGGGGGGCAGUUCGGGGUGCGGCCCCUCGCCCUGACGCGCCGCCUCUGCCCCGGGACGUGCUGCCCCGUCUGGGAAAGUGAAACGGUCUAUUUCUUUUUUUUUUGGGGGGGGGGGACUCAUCGGAACCGCGGGAGGCCGGCCAGGAUGGACCGGGGUCAUGGGUCCCGGCGCGGCCUGCAGUAACUCUCCGGCCACUGUGACCGACUGCGGAGAAGCAGGCUGGGAGCGCAGCUCACUUCAGACCUCCCUCUAACCCCCCCAGUUUCGUGGGAAGCGGACUUGGCGGCGCCCGGCGUGCGGCCGGACUCUCCCCCUGCGCGCCGCCAUGGCGGACAGCGGCCUGGGGCGCAUGGUGUCCCGGCCCGGGGAGGAGGCUGUCCUGGGCGCCGUGCUGCCGGCCUCCUCCCCGCACAACACCUCCCUGUCGGCCAGCCCGACCCCCGGGAGCGACUCCCGGGGCUGCGAGAACGGCGCCCUGAUGGACAGCUUCGGCAUCUUCCUGCAGGGCCUGCUGGGGGUGGUGGCGUUCAGCACGCUGAUGUUGAAGCGUUUCCGGGAGCCCAAGCACGAGAGGCGCCCCUGGAGGAUCUGGUAAACCCCUCGCCUGCCCCAGACACCCUCUCCCGGGGGCGGGGGGCUUCCUGCUGGACAGGAGAGAUGGUCCCCUGGUCCUCUCCCGUUUCUCUCUUUGUCUGGCACUCCCUCUCUCCCCUCUGCCUCUCAUUUCAUUCUCCCUCUCCCCUCUGCCUCCUGGUCGCCGUCUCUCUCUCUCCCUGCCCCUUCCUGCCCAGCUCCUGGGCCGGGCUGUGGAAUUUCUCCAGCGCAGCGACUUGUGUGGGAAUUUCUCUGCCUUUGGUCUGUAUUUCCGGGGCUGUGCUGGGUGUGGAGGCGGGGCUGGUGAUGCAGGGGGGGCGGGGCUUGGCUGGCAUGGGGGGUGUGGCUAGAGAAUGUGGGGGAGUUGUUGGCUGUUGUGGGGGCGGGGCUCGGCUGACCUGGGGG